GAUGACAACAAUAUUUAUUAGUCAAGGUACUGUAUGACUUAUUUCAUUUAGGCAAGGCAAGUAUUUAUACAGCGCACAUAAAACAGUUAAAGGAUUAGUUCACUUCAGAAUUAAUAUUUCCUGAUAAUUCACUCACCCCCAUGUCAUCCAAGAUGUUCAUGUCUUUCUUUCUUCAGUUGAAAAGAAAUGAAGGUUUUUGAGGAAAACAUUCCAGGAUUUUUCUCCAUAUAGUGGACUUCACUGGGGUUCAACGGGUUGAAGGUCCAAAUGUCAGUUUCAGUGCAGCUUCAAAGAGCUCAACAUGAUCCCAGACGAGGAAUAAGAGUCUUGUCUAGAGAAACGAUUUUCUAAAGAAAUAAAAUAAAAAUGAUAUACUUUUUAACCACAAAUGCUCAUCUUGCACUGCUCUGUGAUGCUCCACGCAUUACGUAAUCAUGUUGGAAAGGUCACGUGUGACGCAGGCGGAAGUACCGAUCCAGUGUUUACAAAGAGAACGUGCAAAGACUAAGUGUUUUUCAAUCUACCGCGGGACUUCGGCCUACGUCACGUGUGACCAAUGCGUGGAGCAUCACAGAGCAGUGCAAGACGAGCAUUUGUGGUUAAAAAGUAUAUAAUUUUUUAUUUAUUUUUAGAAAAUGUCCGAUGGUUUCUCUAGAUAAGACUCUUAUUCCUCGUCUGGGAUCAUGUAGAGCUCUUUGAAGCUGCACUGAAACUGACAUUUGGACCUUCAACCCGUUGAACCCCAGUGAAGUCCACUAUAUGGAGAAAAAUCCUGGAAUGUUUUCCUCAAAAACCUUAAUUUCUUUUCCACUGAAGAAAGAAAGACAUAAACAUCUUGGAUGACAUGGAGGUGAGUAAAUUAUCAGGAAAUUUUAAUUCUGAAGUGAACUAACUGUAAAGUGUGUCUGAUUUAGAUGAUCUGUUCCUGUUCAUCAGCGUUUCUGUUUUAAAUGUGUUUUAUGAAUCAGUAUUCAAACGCGUCUCCUCUCACUGACAUCUGCUUCCGUCCUUCACACACGAGGAAAGUGUGAUUGUUAUAAAUGUGUUUGUCACAACAGAUUUUAAGCUUUUUUUUUGAGGAUUCUGACUAUAGCUAUUAAAUACCAUGUAAGUUCAGUCUGAUGGGAUUGUUUACAUGUUACAGACUGUAUAAACGAGACUCACAUGAAGGAAAUAUUGAUCAUUAUGAUUAUUUUACCUGUUCCAGCAGCUGGAUAUCUGAUCUGAUGCUGCCGCGUUCAGUGUUUUAGUCAUUUUGAUUAAAAAUUAUGAGGUCAAUUUUUUUUAAUGAAAUGUAUUGUUCACCAAGAUCAAUAUCAUGCAUUUAGAAAGCAGAUACAAUGAAUGUACAGUGACAUAACCUUGAUUUCAUUUCAUGUUUUCUAUAGGAAUAUUCCAGUUUAAGUUCUAGUUAAGCUCGAUCAGCAGCAUUCGAUGCUUGCCAGCAAUUUUGAUUCAUUUUCUUUAAGAAAGCAAACAUUUUGUAUAAUUUAAAAGCUGAAAUGUGAUGCUAAUAAUUUUACAUUCUGUUAAAACUUGUUUAAUCAUUUUUACAGUGUUUUAAGGUGAAUGGCAUUGUGAUGGAAACAAAAUUGUAAAACUACAAUGAAAAGUUUUAUUUCCAUUCAUGUUAACACUCAUACAGUUGAAAUAAUGCUUAUCAGAUUCACUUUUUAGACACAAGUGGAAAUUAAUUUUUGUGGUAAUCAUUAAUUUUGUUAUAUUUAUUAUUUGAAAUAUGCAAAGUACAUUUUUUUGACUAUCUGUACUAGAUCCCGAUGACACUGUCUGAACAAACGGAUCCAGUUUCAUCACUUCCAGUCAGUCUUAAAGAGACUUUAAAGUAUUUUUGGUUUUCCUCAUAUCCAUGUGUAAAGUGCCUUAACAAGUCACAUGACUGAUCCUCAGAUUUAUUGUGCCACAGUAAACUGAUUCAUUGUGAAAACCAAAGGGACCAUGUUUAAUUCUCCACUGCAGUGAGUUUAUCCAAAUGAAACAUCUUGUUUCUAAUUCUUAAAGCUGUUCAAUGAUCACGAUUAAAAUGUAAUCAUUAUACUGUGGUUGUGAAUGUAGAUCUUGAACUCUUAAUGGAACAUGUAGCAUUAGAUUUUCUUAGUUGGAGGAACCAAUCAGAUUUGCCAAACGCUCUGCACAAUCCCACCUCAAGCCUUUCUGAAGAAAUAAUCAGCUUUAAGUCAAGGUGUUGCUUGCUGUACAAACGCAAUGUAAUGUCACAGCAUCUUAAGUUUACAUAUUACGCAUGUUGAUUUUAUUCUAUACGGUCUGUCAAUAUCUGCAUAUGACAAUUCGUCUGACAAGAAAUAAAUCAUACACAACAAAAA